AUGGCAUUGUUCUGGCAAGGGUUCUGCUCUUCUGUGAAGCUUUGUGAUUUGUCACCUUAUGUCUUGCUAGCUGCUGAGUGGCAGCUUCCAGGCCACCGCCUGAUGAUGGGUCAGGAGUCACCAUCUUGCUGGACAUCUGCAACAACCAACGUUCAAUUUCCUGUACAUCUUUGUGCUCUACCUGUAAGGCCGUCUCUCUUCUCUGUAAGCUGUCCAUCAGGCUCUUCCAGUCAUCUUUGGCUGCAUUUGCUUUGGUCCUGAUCGCCUCCACUCUGUCGGCAGGCACCACGCUACUAAGCUGCUUUCCACAGGUCAGGACAGUGUUCAGUCUGGUCUGACCCUGCUCCUUGUCACUUUUGAACUCCUGUUGUGCAGAAUGAGCAAGACAUCAGCCACACAGACAUAAGUAUACUAUCACAGAGCAGAGGGCAGCAAGUGCAAUGAGUCACGUCCAGACAUUGACCGGCACCCAGCUGGGAUCUCCUACCAUCUGUGAGGCGUGCACGUCCCAUCUUUUUUCCGUCUUUCUCCACUCAAAUGAUACAGAUGCAAUUAUGUAUGACCCAAAGCAUGUCUGACGCUGUGUUGGUGGUUCAGGGCAGUAAGCCAUGUGGAAACAUUGUUCCACAUCUGAAAUGUAUUUGAUGGUAAAUAAAAAAUGAGAAGCAUUGCUUCA
ensembl:lncRNA